rnacentral:rRNA from 1 species
GACGAACGCUGGCGGCGUGCUUAACACAUGCAAGUCGAACGGAAAGGCCCUGCUUUUGUGGGGUUCUCGAUUGGCGAACGGGUGAGUAACACGUGAGUAACCUGCCCUUGACUUUGGUAUAACUUCAGGAAACUGGGGCUAAUACCGGAUAGGAGCUCCUGCUGCAUUGUGGGGGUUGGAAAGUUUCGGCGGUUGGGGAUGGACUCGCGGCUUAUCAGCUUGUUGGUGGGGUAGUGGCUUACCAAGGCUUUGACGGGUAGCCGGCCUGAGAGGGUGACCGGCCACAUUGGGACUGAGAUACGGCCCAGACUACUACGGGAGGCAGCAGUGGGGAAUAUUGCACAAUGGGCGGAAGCCUGAUGCAGCAACGCCGCGUGCGGGAUGACGGCCUUCGGGUUGUAAACCGCUUUCGCCUGUGACGAAGCGUGAGUGACGGUAAUGGGUAAAGAAGCACCGGCUAACUACGUG